CAGCUGCACCCACCAAUGCCACAGAGGCCACACCCUGUGAGGUCACCCGCUCCCACCUCUGGCAGUGCUGACUGUUAGGGAGUGGUCUUCGUGUCCCACCACGCUCUUCACCCACUCGUGGUGCCGUCGGACCCAGACUGUGAGCUCUGUCCCUCUGCCAUUCUUACGCCCUUCACAUCACGCCCUGGACACGGCACAGGUGCAACAAAUGCUUGUGGAAAGAAUGGAUGAAUAAAUGAUUGAUAGACACGAGACAUGAAGCCUAGCUACGUGGGAGCUAGCUGGGUACCAUACGCAACAAGCACAAACAUGAAGGCCAGCAUCUAAGGAUGGUGAGACAGAAGGUGGACGAAUGCACAUCCCCGAUGAUGCCACAGAGACACGAAGCUAGACCCGAAACCACUAACUUCCAAUCUUCCUGACUCCCGGAGAACGCCCCUCGCCCUAACCAGCCAUCAGCAACCUGAGGGCACUUACCUCCACGACAAGGGACACAAUGAAAUUGGAGCUGAGCAUAGUGACAAUGUAGACCCUCCACAGGACAGGAGUGCAGAGCAGCUGGUGGGAGAUGCAGAAGCACAGUCAGUCUGAAGACAAAUCAUGCUGCAAAAAUUUCAUGCUGUUCACAGUGUACAUUUUCCUACGUUGCACAUUACGUAUGUAAUAGACACAGGCAGAUAUGGGAACAUAUGUGUUACAUUUACAUACAUAUGUGUACAUUUUGUAUAUGUAAGCAUUUCUAUGCAUGAAUGCACAGAAAACGUGGAAGGAUGACACUCAAUGAUUCCAAUGAUUUGGGGACUAUGAUUGUUGCUUUCAUUUAUCUUCCCUUCUUUCCUCUUUUAUUUUUCCUCUGUAAUUUCUAAAUUUUCUAAAAUAAAUUUGGUCA